rnacentral:rRNA from 1 species
UACAGAGGUGGCAAGCGUUGUUCGGAAUUACUGGGCGUAAAGGGCUCGUAGGCGGCCAACUAAGUCGGACGUGAAAUCCCUCAGCUUAACUGGGGAACUGCGUCUGAUACUGGCGAGCUUGAGUGCAGGAGAGGAACGCGGAAUUCCAGGUGUAGCGGUGAAAUGCGUAGAUAUCUGGAGGAACACCGGUGGCGAAGGCGGCGUUCUGGACUGCAACUGACACUGAAAAACGAAAGCCAGGGGAGCAAACGGG